rnacentral:sRNA from 1 species
CUAAGGUUCGAUUCGAGCGAAAGCGAGAAAGCGUUGCCGCAGGCAACGACCCGAAGGGCGAAGCGCGCAGCGCUGAGUCAUCCUUCCCCCACCACCA